AUUGAACGCUGGCGGCAGGCCUAACACAUGCAAGUCGAGCGAGCGGCGGACGGGUGAGUAAUGUAUGGGAAUGUAGCUUAUGGAGGGGGAUAACUACGGGAAACUGUCGCUAAUAACGCCUAACAUAGGAGGAGCCCACGUGGGAUUAGUUAGGUGGGGAGGUAAAGGCUCACAAAGCGGACGAUCUCUAGCUGGUCUGAGAGGAUGAACCGCCACACUGUGACUGAGACACGGCCCAGCCUCCUACGGGUGGCAGCAGUGUGGGAUAUUGCGCAAUGGAUGAAAGUUGACGCAGCCAUGCCGCGUGAAUGAAGAAGGCCUUCGGGUUAUAAAGUUCUUUCGUUACCGAAGCGUUAACAACAGAAGAAGUCCCGGCUAACUCCGUGCCAGCAGCCGCGGUAAUUC
rnacentral:rRNA from 1 species